rnacentral:rRNA from 1 species
UACAGAGGUCUCAAGCGUUGUUCGGAUUCAUUGGGCGUAAAGGGUGCGUAGGCGGUCCAUCGCGUCGGGAGUGAAAAGCUGGGGCUCAACCCCAGUCCUGCUUCCGAUACGGGUGGACUAGAGGUAUGCAGGGGAGAACGGAAUUCCUGGUGUAGCGGUGAAAUGCGCAGAUAUCAGGAGGAACACCGGUGGCGAAGGCGGUUCUCUGGGCAUUACCUGACGCUGAGGAGCGAAAGCGUGGGGAGCAAACAGG